rnacentral:misc_RNA from 1 species
AACGCACAUUGCGCCUGCCAGCAUUCUGGCAGGCAUGCCUGUCCGAGCGUCAUUUCCACCCUCACGCGCCCUGUGGCGCGUGGUGUUGGGGCCCGCUCUCCCUGCCCUGGCGCGGGAGAGGCCCUGAAAGCGAGUGGCGGGCCGCCUGGUCUGGCUCCGAGCGCAGUAGAAACGCACCUGUUUUUCCCCUCGCUCUGGACGCCGCCGGCGCGCCCUGCCGUCAAAACCCGCGCGCACCGCGUGCACACCUCACAAGGUUGACCUCGGAUCAGGUAGGACUACCCGCUGAACUUAA